AGCGUAGCGAGGCGAACCGGGAGAACUGAAACAUCUAAGUACCCCCGAGGAAAAGAAAUCAACCGAGAUUCCCUCAGUAGCGGCGAGCGAACGGGGAUUAGCCCUUAAGCAUCUUGGAAGUUAGUGGAACGGUCCUGGAAAGGCCGGCGAUACAGGGUGAUAGCCCCGUACACGAAAACAACCUUGAUGUGAAAUCGAGUAGGGCGGGACACGUGACAUCCUGUCUGAAUAUGGGGGGACCAUCCUCCAAGGCUAAAUACUCCUGACUGACCGAUAGUGAACCAGUACCGUGAGGGAAAGGCGAAAAGAACCCCUGUGAGGGGAGUGAAAUAGAACCUGAAACCGUGUACGUACAAGCAGUGGGAGCCCUUCGGGGUGACUGCGUACCUUUUGUAUAAUGGGGUCAGCGACUUACAUUUUGUAGCGAGGUUAACCGUAUAGGGGAGCCGUAGGGAACCGAGUCUUAACUGGGCGUCUAGUUGCAAGGUGUAGACCCGAAACCGGGUGAUCUAGCCAUGGGCAGGUUGAAGGUUGAGUAACAUCAACUGGA
rnacentral:rRNA from 1 species